UGGUGGAAGAGGAUGGGGCUGGUGCGGGGUGUGCGGUGGUGGAAAGGGCGGUGCAGUGGCGGCGGCGGCAGGAGGUAGGGGAUGACCCCGACAGGUGGGGCCCACCUGCUAGAGAGAAGUAGAGAAGGGAGAGGGAGUGACAGCCUACUGGGCCUGUUGGGCUGGAUUUUCUUUUUCUUUAACAAUUUUUUUAUGAAAAAAUUGAAUAAAACCGUAAAAAACAGCAGAAAAUUUUAAAAAUGAGAUAAAAUAAAAAUAAAAUCAGGGAAUAUUAUUAUGUCUUUUACAUGUGAUUUUAUUUAUAGUUAUUAUUUUAUAAAAUACUUGUUAUUAUUUCCCGUUGC
rnacentral:lncRNA from 1 species